rnacentral:rRNA from 1 species
UACAGAGGGUGCAAGCGUUAAUCGGAAUUACUGGGCGUAAAGGGUGCGUAGGUGGUUUGAUAAGUUAGGCGUGAAAGUCCUGGGCUUAACCUGGGGAUUGCGUUUAAUACUGUCAGGCUAGAGUAUUGUAGAGGAAAGCGGAAUUUCCGGUGUAGCGGUAGAAUGCGUAGAUAUCGGAAGGAACAUCAGUGGCGAAGGCGGCUUUCUGGACAAAUACUGACACUGAGGCACGAAAGCGUGGGGAG